rnacentral:rRNA from 1 species
UGGGGAAUAUUGCACAAUGGGCGCAAGCCUGAUGCAGCCAUGCCGCGUGUAUGAAGAAGGCCUUCGGGUUGUAAAGUACUUUCAGUCGGGAGGAAGGUGGUAAGGUUAAUAACCUUAUCAAUUGACGUUACCGACAGAAGAAGCACCGGCUAACUCCGUGCCAGCAGCCGCGGUAAUACGGAGGGUGCAAGCGUUAAUCGGAAUUACUGGGCGUAAAGCGCACGCAGGCGGUUGAUUGAGUCAGAUGUGAAAUCCCCGGGCUUAACCCGGGAGUUGCAUCUGAUACUGGUCAGCUAGAGUCUUGUAGAGGGGAGUAGAAUUCCAUGUGUAGCGGUGAAAUGCGUAGAGAUGUGGAGGAAUACCGGUGGCGAAGGCGGCCCCCUGGACAAAGACUGACGCUCAGGUGCGAAAGCGUGGGGAGCAAACAGG